UACCUUUCCUCUGUUAGCCUGACUUCAGUCAGGUUGGCAUACCUGUUUUGUCUGCUAUAUCUUUAUUCAGGCCUAACAUGUAUGUGGCAGGGUGUUUACCCCACACUCGUCCUGAAAGGGUUAAGGCAGAUUGAGAAGGGGGCUAAUUAACCUGACAGGCCACAGCUGAGGAGAAUCAAGUGGCUAAGAAAUCCCCUGACUGAAGGAGGGAGUCCUGGGCUGAGUAAUAUAAAGACAGGAAAUUAGCAGCUGAGGGAGCUGCUAGGAAAGACUGCAGUCUCCCUGGGAGGAGUGCUUGGGGCUGCAGAGACAGGGGGAAAUGCAUCUGGUGACCUGACUGAAGGACCAAGUCACGAAGAGGCAGCUCCUGCAGCAAGGCAGAGGCUGCAGACCUGGAGAGGAAGGACAGAGCGAUGGCCUGCAACCACAGGAAGGGGUAUCGGCUUCACAGAGCUACUCCCCAGAGCAGCCAGGAGGAGACACCAUCCUAGUAGUGAGCAGAACACCCCGUCACAAUGUACAAGUCAAUUCAGUUCAGUAUAAGCAGGACAGCAGAAGAGGCUCUUUAGGAGGAAUCAAAAUGUUUCAUUUCAGAAAUAUUAGAUACAUGAAACAAGAACUGGGUGAGGUGAAGACUUAUUUACACAUGAGAAGGUAAUUCUAUUAAUGAAGAUACUGCUGUCCAUGAGAAUCCCCAUGUUCCAGCACUUUACAGAAACGACUGCCUUUUAUCAACAUUGAUGAUAGUGUU